rnacentral:rRNA from 1 species
GACGAACGCUGGCGGCGUGCUUAACACAUGCAAGUCGAACGGAAAGGCCCUGCUUUCGUGGGGUGCUCGAGUGGCGAACGGGUGAGUAACACGUGAGUAACCUGCCCUUGACUUUGGGAUAACUUCAGGAAACUGGGGCUAAUACCGGAUAGGAGCUCCUGCUGCAUGGUGGGGGUUGGAAAGUUUCGGCGGUUGGGGAUGGACUCGCGGCUUAUCAGCUUGUUGGUGGGGUAGUGGCUUACCAAGGCUUUGACGGGUAGCCGGCCUGAAAGGGUGACCGGCCACAUUGGGACUGAGAUACGGCCCAGACUCCUACGGGAGGCAGCAGUGGGGAAUAUUGCACAAUGGGCGGAAGCCUGAUGCAGCAACGCCGCGUGCGGGAUGACGGCCUUCGGGUUGUAAACCGCUUUCGCCUGUGACGAAGCGUGAGUGACGGUAAUGGGUAAAGAAGCACCGGCUAACUACGU